rnacentral:rRNA from 1 species
AUUGAACGCUGGCGGCAUGCUUUACACAUGCAAGUCGAACGGCAGCGCGGGCUUCGGCCUGGCGGCGAGUGGCGAACGGGUGAGUAAUACAUCGGAACGUGCCCAGUAGUGGGGGAUAGCUCGGCGAAAGCCGGAUUAAUACCGCAUACGACCUGAUGGUGAAAGCGGGGGAUCUUCGGACCUCGCGCUAUUGGAGCGGCCGAUGGCAGAUUAGCUAGUUGGUGGGGUAAAGGCCUACCAAGGCGACGAUCUGUAGCUGGUCUGAGAGGACGACCAGCCACACUGGAACUGAGACACGGCCCAGACUCCUACGGGAGGCAGCAGUGGGGAAUUUUGGACAAUGGGCGAAAGCCUGAUCCAGCAAUGCCGCGUGUGUGAUGAAGGCCUUCGGGUUGUAAAGCACUUUUGGCGGGAACGAAAAGGACUGUGCCAAUACCACGGUUCGAUGACGGUACCCGCAGAAUAAGCACCGGCUAACUACGUG